rnacentral:rRNA from 1 species
CAGCCGCCGCGGUAAUACGAAGGGUGCAAGCGUUAAUCGGAAUUACUGGGCGUAAAGGGCGUGUAGGCGGCCUGGGGCGUCCCAUGUGAAAGGCCACGGCUCAACCGUGGGGGAGCGUGGGAUACGCUCAGGCUAGAGGGUGGGAGAGGGUGGUGGAAUUCCCGGAGUAGCGGUGAAAUGCGCAGAUACCGGGAGGAACGCCGAUGGCGAAGGCAGCCACCUGGUCCACUUCUGACGCUGAGGCGCGAAAGCGUGGGGAGCAAACCGGAUUAGAUACCCCCGUAGUCCCUGUCUCUUAUAC